GUGCUUAACNCAUGCAAGUCGAACGAGAACGGAUUAUAGCUUGCUAUAAUUGUCAGCUAAGUGGCGCACGGGUGAGUAAUGUAUAGGUAAUAUGCCUCUUACUAAGGGAUAACAAUUGGAAACGAUUGCUAAUACCUUAUAUUCCUUUUUAUCAAAAGAUAAAAAGGGAAAGAUUUAUUGGUAAGAGAUUAGCCUGUAUUGUAUCAGUUAGUUGGUGGGGUAAUGGCCUACCAAGACGAUGACGCAUAACUGGUUUGAGAGGAUGAUCAGUCACACUGGAACUGAGACACGGUCCAGACUCCUACGGGAGGCAGCAGUGGGGAAUAUUGCACAAUGGACGAAAGUCUGAUGCAGCAACGCCGCGUGGAGGAUGACACAUUUCGGUGCGUAAACUCCUUUUAUAUAAGAAGAUAAUGACGGUAUUAUAUGAAUAAGCACCGGCUAACUCCGUGCCAGCAGCCGCGGUAAUACGGAGGGUGCAAGCGUUACUCGGAAUCACUGGGCGUAAAGAGCGUGUAGGCGGAUUGAUAAGUUUGAAGUGAAAUCCUAUAGCUUAACUAUAGAACUGCUUUGAAAACUGUUAAUCUAGAAUGUGGGAGAGGUAGAUGGAAUUUCUGGUGUAGGGGUAAAAUCCGUAGAGAUCAGAAGGAAUACCGAUUGCGAAGGCGAUCUACUGGAACAAUAUUGACGCUGAGACGCGAAAGCGUGGGGAGCAAACAGGAUUAGAUACCCUGGUAGUCCACGCCCUAAACGAUGUACACUAGUUGUUGUGAGGCUCGACCUUGCAGUAAUGCAGUUAACACAUUAAGUGUACCGCCUGGGGAGUACGGUCGCAAGAUUAAAACUCAAAGGAAUAGACGGGGACCCGCACAAGCGGUGGAGCAUGUGGUUUAAUUCGACGAUACACGAAGAACCUUACCUGGACUUGACAUAGUAAGAAUGAUUUAGAGAUAGAUUAGUGUCUGCUUGCAGAAACUUGCAUACAGGUGCUGCACGGCUGUCGUCAGCUCGUGUCGUGAGAUGUUGGGUUAAGUCCCGCAACGAGCGCAACCCUCGUCCUUAGUUGCUAACAGUUCGGCUGAGAACUCUAAGGAGACUGCCUACGCAAGUAGGAGGAAGGUGAGGAUGACGUCAAGUCAUCAUGGCCCUUACGUCCAGGGCUACACACGUGCUACAAUGGGGUAUACAA
rnacentral:rRNA from 2 species